rnacentral:rRNA from 1 species
AGGACGAACGCUGGCGGCGUGCUUAACACAUGCAAGUCGAACGGAAAGGCCCUUUCGGGGGUACUCGAGUGGCGAACGGGUGAGUAACACGUGGGUGAUCUGCCCUGCACUUCGGGAUAAGCUUGGGAAACUGGGUCUAAUACCGGAUAGGACUACGGACUGCAUGGUCUGUGGUGGAAAGCUUUUGCGGUGUGGGAUGGGCCCGCGGCCUAUCAGCUUGUUGGUGGGGUGAUGGCCUACCAAGGCGACGACGGGUA